GACGAACGCUGGCGGCGUGCUUAACACAUGCAAGUCGAACGGAAAGGCCCUGCUUUUGUGGGGUGCUCGAGUGGCGAACGGGUGAGUAACACGUGAGUAACCUGCCCUUGACUUUGGGAUAACUUCAGGAAACUGGGGCUAAUACCGGAUAGGAGCUCCUGCUGCAUGGUGGGGGUUGGAAAGUUUCGGCGGUUGGGGAUGGACUCGCGGCUUAUCAGCUUGUUGGUGGGGUAGUGGCUUACCAAGGCUUUGACGGGUAGCCGGCCUGAGAGGGUGACCGGCCACAUUGGGACUGAGAUACGGCCCAGACUCCUACGGGAGGCCGCAGUGGGGAAUCUUGCACCAUGGGCGGAAGCCUGAUGCAGCAACGCCGCGUGCGGGAUGACGGCCUUCGGGUUGUAAACCGCUUUCGCCUGUGACGAAGCGUGAGUGACGGUAAUGGGUAAAGAAGCACCGGCUCCCUACGUG
rnacentral:rRNA from 1 species